AUGCUGACUCUGGCUCCUUACAACGUGCCGGAGAAGACCAAGAAGGCCAAGGGAACCCAAAAGAGUUCCCGGCGCCAGGUGGUAUCGGACUCAACGUCCGAUAACUCCGCGACGCACUCCUCCCCCGAAGACGAGGAGGAAGAUGAAGAUGCUCCCCCUUCAGUCGGGGGAGACAAGAAAAGGAAGGCCGCCCCAACCGGGGGGGCCGAAGGGUCCAAGAAGGGGAGGACCCUCCUUUCGGACUACUCCACCACCGCCGCUGAAGGCGAAGACGAGUGGCUACUCAGGGCCAAGCCCCUGGCGAAGUCGUAA
rnacentral:rRNA from 1 species